UAGGUUUAUCCAACUCGUUGAGAAUUCUUGGUAGUGAAUUUUUAGUAUCAUGGCUCUGCCUUACAAAACAACAAACAAGUUUGACCUCAAAUCAGGUAGGAUUACCCGCUGAACUUAAGCAUAUCAAUAAGCGGAGGAAAAGAAACCAACAGGGAUUGUCUUAGUAACGGCGAGUGAAGCGACAAAAGCUCAAAUUUGAAAUCUGGCACCUUCGGUGUCCGAGUUGUAAUUUGAAGAAGGUAACUUUGGAGUUGGCUCUUGUCUAUGUUCCUUGGAACAGGACGUCACAGAGGGUGAGAAUCCCGUGCGAUGAGAUGUCCAACUCUAUGUAAAGUGCUUUCGAAGAGUCGAGUUGUUUGGGAAUGCAGCUCUAAGUGGGUGGUAAAUUCCAUCUAAAGCUAAAUAUUGGCGAGAGACCGAUAGCGAACAAGUACAGUGAUGGAAAGAUGAAAAGAACUUUGAAAAGAGAGUGAAAAAGUACGUGAAAUUGUUGAAAGGGAAGGGUUUGAGAUCAGACUUGGUAUUUUGUAUGUCUUGCUUUCGGGUGGGGCCUCUGCAGUUUACUGGGCCAGCAUCGGUUUGGACGGUAGGAUAAUGACAUUGGAAUGUGGCACUACUUCGGUGGUGUGUUAUAGACUUUGUUGAUACUGCCUGUCUAGACCGAGGACUGCGUCUUGACUAGGAU
rnacentral:rRNA from 1 species